rnacentral:rRNA from 1 species
UGACUGCGUACCUUUUGUAUAAUGGGUCAGCGACUUAUAUUCUGUAGCAAGGUUAACCGCAUAGGGGAGCCGGAGGGAAACCGAGUCUUAAUUGGGCGUUAAGUUGCAGGGUAUAGACCCGAAACCCGGUGAUCUAGCCAUGGGCAGGUUGAAGGUUGGGUAACACUAACUGGAGGACCGAACCGACUAAUGUUGAAAAAUUAGCGGAUGACCUGUGGCUGGGGGUGAAAGGCCAAUCAAACCGGGAGAUAGCUGGUUCUCCCCGAAAGCUAUUUAGGUAGCGCCUCGUGAAUUCAUCUCCGGGGGUAGAGCACUGUUUCGGCUAGGGGGCCAUCCCGGCUUACCAACCCGAUGCAAACUGCGAAUACCGGAGAAUGUUAUCACGGGAGACACACGGCGGGUGCUAACGUCCGUCGUGAAGAGGGAAACAACCCAGACCGCCAGCUAAGGUCCCAAAGUCAUGGUUAAGUGGGAAACGAUGUGGGAAGGCCCAGACAGCCAGGAUGUUGGCUUAGAAGCAGCCAUCAUUUAAAGAAAGCGUAAUAGCUCACUGGUCGAGUCGGCCUGCGCGGAAGAUGUAACGGGGCUAAACCAUGCACCGAAGCUGCGGCAGCGA